CUUGUCGUUCUUAAUUACUAAACGACUGUCUCAAGAACAAUUGCUUUGUCCCCCAACUGGUUUUGCUCUGCUAUUUGGGGACUGAACUGCCAUUCUUCCCCUACAAUAAAUAAAUAGGUAGCAGCUCAGAAAUCUCACAGCGUUCUUGCACCAGACAGCAUUCUGGGUCAGAUGAUGUCAAUUAUACAACUCUUGUCUUCCAACCUCCCACGUAUGACAGCACUGAUGGAGACCAUGAGGAUACAAGUGUGAAGGAACAUUAUGAGAAUGUGAUUCGCUAGGAAAGGAAAGUGCAUUUCUGGCCAUGCUCUAGCCUAGUUGCUUCCAGUUCAAGGCAUGAUACCAUAUAGGACCCAUAACAAUUAUAUAAUUCUUUUGUUACAUUCUCAGUAAGAGUUAUCAUAUCCUAUACUUAGCCUGCUACCUUUAAUUGUGGCCAGCAUUCAAUGGAAAGUGGCAAUUUUUUCUAAAUUUCAUCACCUCUUUAUGUGAAUGACAUACAGUGCUAUACCUUAUAUAAUAAACUUAUAAUAAUGUUAUAUGAUAAGCUAAAUGUCAGCUCUCACUUGCCUAUAAACGCUCUAGCUCAGUCACUGGCUGAACUGCUUUGAUGUCACAGAAGACAGAACAUUCAUAAACUUUCUUUCCACUAUUUCGUAAUGCUGGAAAUAAAGAGUCAAUAACCGAAUCCAUGCAGCAACUGUAAUGGAAAGUCAUUUUGACUGGGGAGGGACAGGGAAUGUCAGAACUUGGGAAAAGGAUAAGCUGUUCGUUAGUGAGAAGUGGUGUGGAGAGGUGAGAAGGAGAUGUGAACUCCAUAUACUAAUUCAAAACAACUGUCCCGAUCUUCAUAAUCAAUUGCAUAAUUUCCUGCUGGAUCAGACCAAAGGUCCAUCAAGUCCAGCAUUCUGUUUCCUAAAAUGGCCAACCAGAAGCCCAUAGCAGAGCAGUGUGCAGGUCCCUCCUGUUGUUUCCUUAGAACUGGUAUUCAGAGUUACAAUGCCCCGGAAGACAGAGGUCUCACACAGCCAUCAUGCUUCAAAACCAGUAAUAGAACUCCAUGUGUUUAUCCAUAUGGAUAGCUAAUGCUUUAAAGAAAGGCAUUUUAAAAUCAAACAUUAAGAAAAGCUUGCCAGUGAAAGGGAAUGGCAAAGUUUGUUGGAAGUCUUAAGUGCCUGUACAGCAAAGAAGAAAUAAAACCUUUAGAUAUUCCAAUGGCUUUAUUCAAAGCGUUUCACAGUCAGUUUAAAUAUAUGUAAUUAUUUAACUAACAAAAAGAGGAUUUUCUCCUCUACUUAAUUUUAUAAAGAAUGCUCUGGGUUAUGUGUCCGUGCGUUUAAAUCAGCCUUGCUUCCUAAUGUGCUUUUUGUAAUGCCUCCCACUUCCCUCUGUCUGUGGCACUAAGCACACUUUAAAUCUGAGCUACUAUGACUUGCUGCAUGAUGAUUUCAACUGAAGCAAUUGGAUUCUGAGAACAUCAAAAGCUAGUAGUUGCUUCUGUUAAGAGAUCUAUGCCUUAGACUAGGGGUUCUCAACCAGUGUUCCCUCUAAGAGAGAUUCCCAGAUGUUUUUGACUACAACUCCCAUAAUCCCCAAGCAAAAGCCAUUGCAGCUGGGAAUUCUGGUAGUCAACAACAUCUGGAAAUCCCUCUUAGAGGGAGCAGU